rnacentral:rRNA from 1 species
AUUGAACGCUGGCGGCAUGCCUUACACAUGCAAGUCGAACGGUAACGGGCCUUCGGGUGCCGACGAGUGGCAAACGGGUGAGUAAUACAUCGGAACGUGCCCGAUCGUGGGGGAUAACGAGGCGAAAGCUUUGCUAAUACCGCAUACGAUCUACGGAUGAAAGCAGGGGACCGCAAGGCCUUGCGCGGACGGAGCGGCCGAUGGCAGAUUAGGUAGUUGGUGGGAUAAAAGCUUACCAAGCCGACGAUCUGUAGCUGGUCUGAGAGGAUGAUCAGCCACACUGGGACUUCGACACGGCCCAGACUCCUACGGGAGGCAGCAGUGGGGAAUUUUGGACAAUGGGCGCAAGCCUGAUCCAGCCAUGCCGCGUGCAGGAUGAAGGCCUUCGGGUUGUAAACUGCUUUUGUACGGAACGAAAAGCCUUCUUUUAAUACAGGAGGGUCAUGACGGUACCGUAAGAAUAAGCACCGGCUAACUACGUG